AAUGUCACGAGCCUGUCCUUAGAGCUUUACAAACACUUCAGUUCACAAGAUACUACAUUUUUGCCAGAAAGAGAGUCAGGGUAAUAAGAGAUAUUUUCCCUGAAUUCCUGUGAGAUGUUGAGCCUUCCAGAAAUCUCCAUGUGUGGGCAGUUACUUUAAAUGCCAUCUGAUUCUCAGAUCAGUUAUGGGGUCGCUUUUUCAUUUGCGUAGCCAAAAGCUAUGGUACUGUUGUGGCAUUAUCAUAAUACCUCAUUUUAAGGUUUUCCUUUGAAACCACUUCUUUCAUUUAGGAAGUAAAAUGUCCGCUAAGCUAAUGAUGUGUGGCUGUCCUGUGCCAUGAGAGGCGUGGAGAUCACAAACAGAAAACAUGGCAACUGUUCAGGAAAGAUGUCUAGUCACGCUGGACAUCUGAAAAGUCACACUUUUCAGUAUUGAGGUCUGUGAGUUUUGUAAAUCUCGACUAAAUUCCCUCCUGCUCUCCUGACGCAGAAAUGGCUUGAAAUACAAUACAUAAUGUCAGAGUCAGAUAUUCUUCCUUCACGGCGCUUGCUCCGUGCAAAGGCCCAGGGUGAUUUGUGAAUGGCCUUGCUAGUGACCGUUCCGCUCUCUGCCAAUCAGCCACUCAUCUUUUCGUCUCACUGGGCACCACGUUUUGCUGGGCAGUUAAGUAGCUGCCGUCCACUGGGAUUCUUAGGGAUAUGCCUUGACCUCUUGGCAUAUCAGGUGGGAACCAGUUACAGGUAAAAUACUUAAAAGUUCUCUGGGGCCAAGAGCCUCUGACAGUGACUCUGAAGGGGUUAGAGAUGGACUAAUUGGGACCAGAUUGGGGCAUCAUUUCGGCCACUGGUUGCCUUCCUUGCUUCAAACUGAAAUUCAGUUUGGCUUCAAGUAUAGGGACACGUGGUGGUGGAUUCAUCUACUUCAGUGUUUGUUUUGACCAAAAGUUUAUUUUUCUAGUGCAUUUUCUAAGUCAAAAUGGUGAAAACAUGUAAUUUUAGUAUGCACGACUGGGUCUUAAAUAAUAAAAAAUCUCUGUAAGGCUG
rnacentral:lncRNA from 1 species